rnacentral:misc_RNA from 1 species
GAUGAAGAACGCAGCGAAAUGCGAUAAGUAAUGUGAAUUGCAGAAUUCAGUGAAUCAUCGAGUCUUUGAACGCACAUUGCGCCCCCUGGUAUUCCGGGGGGCAUGCCUGUCCGAGCGUCAUUGCUGCCCUCAAGCACGGCUUGUGUGUUGGGCCGACGUCCCCCUCCUAGGGGACGGGCCCGAAAGGCAGCGGCGGCACCGCGUCCGGUCCUCGAGCGUAUGGGGCUUCGUCACCCGCUCCGUAGGCCCGGCCGGCGCUUGCCGACGACCAUCAAUCUCUUUCUCCAGGUUGACCUCGGAUCAGGUAGGGAUACCCGCUGAACUUAAGCAUAUCAAUAAGCGGAGGA